rnacentral:rRNA from 1 species
ACGCUCGACACCUGAGGCAGCAGUCGGGAAUAUUGCGCAAUGGAGGAAACUCUGACGCAGUGACGCCGCGUAUGGGAAGAAGGUUUUCGGAUUGUAAACCAUUUUAGACAAGGAAGAAACAAGACAGUACUUGUAGAAUAAGCUCCGGCUAACUACGUGCCAGCAGCCGCGGUAAUCUGAGCGGGCUGGCAAGGC